CCCCUAGAUGUUCUGGGCCGCACGCGCGCUACACUGAACAGUUCAACAAGUCUUAACCUUGGCCGAUAGGUCUGGGUAAUCUUUGAACGCUGUUCGUGAUUGGGAUAGACCUUUGCAAUUAUGGGUCUUCAACGAGGAAUUCCUAGUAAACGCAAGUCAUCAGCUUGCAUUGAUUACGUCCCUGCCCUUUGUACACACCGCCCGUCGCACCUACCGAUUGAAUGGUCCGGUGAAAUCUCGGGACGGCGGCUUGGUCGCUUGCGUCCGACUGCUCAAACUUGAUUAAACCAUAUCAUUUAGAGGAAGGUGAAGUCGUAACA
rnacentral:rRNA from 1 species